UACGAAGGGGGGCUAGCGUUGCUCGGAAUCACUGGGCGUAAAGGGUGCGUAGGCGGGUUUUUAAGUCAGAGGUGAAAUCCUGGAGCUCAACUCCAGAACUGCCUUUGAUACUGAAAGUCUUGAGUAUGGGAGAGGUGAGUGGAACUGCGAGUGUAGAGGUGAAAUUCGUAGAUAUUCGCAAGAACACCAGUGGCGAAGGCGGCUC
rnacentral:rRNA from 1 species